ACUCCUACGGGGAGGCAGCAGUGGGGGAAUAUUUGGACAAUGGGGGCAACCCGUGAUCCAGCCAUGCCGCGUGAGUGAUGAAGGCCUUAGGGUUGUAAAGCUCUUUCAGCGUAGGAGGAUAAUGACGUUACUCGCAGAAGAAGCCCCGGCUAACUUCGUGCCAGCAGCCGCGGUAAUACGAAGGGGCUAGCGUUGUUCGGAAUCACU
rnacentral:rRNA from 1 species